GCACUGUACUAAGUGUUCGUUGCAGAGCACAAAAUCACCAAGUCAUUUAGCACUUUCACUCUUGGCCAGAAAUGAGACAUUCAUUUUGAGAUGGGGGAUGUUGUGGUGUUCUAAAGAGACACUGAGUUUGGAAAUAUUUUCAAAUCACCCAAAUGACCAACCCACACACUUUUUAGCAGAUGUUAUUAAUCUUGACAGUGACUGAAGAGUAAGAAGAGGGAGGAUAAGAAGAUCAUUCGGUUGACCAGUGCAAGGUAUAAAAUGUCUGUGGCAAGGAGGUGAUAUUGAGGAUGGCUUUUUAAGGGAAGAAGAUCCAGAUCAGUAAGCCUGGGAAUACUGAAACCAUCAGGAAGGACUUGUUGAAGUCAAACUAUUCAAGCUUCAGUGAUGCAUAACCCCAAGAAUUCUUAAUGAAGCCUUGGCGUAAUUCAUGCAGGUAUCGGCCGCCUUCUCUCAGCUUCCUCCAUCUGCUGCCCCCAACCAGUAUUUUGACCUCACCUGUCCGGCAUCAAGUUUGACAAGCAGCAAUCUUCAGACAGCCUGACAAACAGCAGACCUUGAUUAAAACCCAGAUUAUCAGAGCAGCCAACAUCACUGGAGUAAAGGCAGCGUGUAUUUACUUCUCUCCAGACCAUCAGAGUUAAGGCUAUGCUGCACGGGUGGCGACCAGUUGAACCAACACUGAGCACCUUACCAAGAGCCACUCACAGGACACCUGGGCUACUGUCUCUGAAGAACCUGGACCAAAGUCCAGCCUUGAUAUGGCUGAACGAACCCUUGAAGAGCAGGGAAAUGAGUGACCUGAAGGUACCUCAUCUGUAAAGCGGGAAUUUAAGACCGUGAGCCGAUUUAAGACUGUGGGACAUGCACUGCACCAACCUGAUUAGCUUGAUUAGCUUGAAGUAGCCCAAUAC